AUAAGCGGAGGAAAAGAAACUAACAAGGAUUCCCCUAGUAACGGCGAGUGAAGCGGGAAGAGCUCAAAUUUGAAAUCUGGUAGCCUUCGGUUGCCCGAGUUGUAAUCUAGAGAAGUGUUUUCCGUGCCGGCCCAUGUACAAGUCCCUUGGAACAGGGCGUCAUAGAGGGUGAGAAUCCCGUCCUUGACAUGGACCCCCGGUGCUUUGUGAUACACUUUCAACGAGUCGAGUUGUUUGGGAAUGCAGCUCAAAAUGGGUGGUGAAUUCCAUCUAAAGCUAAAUAUUGGCGAGAGACCGAUAGCGAACAAGUACCGUGAGGGAAAGAUGAAAAGCACUUUGGAAAGAGAGUUAAACAGUACGUGAAAUUGUUGAAAGGGAAACGAUUGAAGUCAGUCAUGCUCUUAGGAUUCAGCCGUUCUGCGGUGUAUUUCCUUUGAGUGGGGUCAACAUCAGUUUUGAUCGAUGGAUAAAGGCACGAGGAAGGUAGCACUCUCGGGUGAACUUAUAGCCUCGCGUCAUAUACAUUGAUUGGGACUGAGGAACGCAGCAUGCCUUUAUGGCCGGGAUUCGUCCACGUACAUGCUUAGGAUGUUGACAUAAUGGCUUUAAACGACCCGUCUUGAAA
rnacentral:rRNA from 1 species